UGCCAGUCUGAAAGUUAGGCUAGGGUCAC
rnacentral:piRNA from 1 species